GUUGUUUUGGCAGAGUUAAUGCGGUAAAUUUAGGAUUUAUUUAUAUGAUAAUUAUCUUAGACAAUA
rnacentral:tRNA from 1 species